UCUGACGACAAUAGCGUUCCGGAACCACCCCUUCCCAUCCCGAACAGGACCGUGAAACGGAACCGCGCCGAUGAUAGUGCCCAUACGGGUGUGAAAGUAGGUCAUCGUCAGAC
rnacentral:rRNA from 1 species